AUUGCUUCUCUGCCUUUUGGCUAAGAUCAAGUGUAGAAUUCAGGGUUGUCAAUUUUAUUAUCUAUCUACCUUUUAAAGAUCAUUAUUCUCUUCUGGCUUUUAAUGUUCCAGAUUAAAAAUCAGUGAUA
rnacentral:snRNA from 1 species